GGCCCGCGGAGAGCGGGCGAGGGGGCGCGUCAGUGUGCGGACGGGGACCAGCGCUGACCUGUCCGAGGCAGGGCACAGCGGUGAGGGCUUCGUGCCAGCAGGCUGCGUUAGUGUGAACGUCUGUGAGGCGACUAGCCCCCCUCAGAGGGCCGAGGGCAAGCUGGUGCUGCCGGCUAGGAAGAAGCAAGGAGGAGGAAACAGAAUGGCAGGGUUUGUGGUGGAGACAGACACUUCCUUUUGCACUGACAAGAAGAGAAUCAGCCAGUAUUGAAGAUUCAUCAAAGAGGGCAAGAGGCUCAGAACACCACAGCUAUAACCUGCAACCGGGGAAGCAUUGUCCAU
rnacentral:lncRNA from 1 species